CUUCCCUCCCAUCUAUGAGUUUCCCUAAUCAAAAUAUAGCAGCGUAAGACAUGAUAACUUGAGGCGAAAUAAGGAGCUGCGUACAGCUAAAAACUUGUAAAUAAUUGUGUUUCCUUUUGUGUAAGUGAUCAAGAUUGUUGUUUUUCCUUUUGUGUCUGUUUUGGUUCAGUCUAGUUGGCUAGAGGGAGUUUUAUGUAUGUUGGUGGAUAGGAGUCUAAUCAGCAGUGUUAUUAUGUUGUGUCUUGUGAAGGCCUGAUUACUUGGGGUGGGUGCUAGCAGCAACUUACUACAUAAUUGUGUUGCGUUAGUGAUGCUGAUUUUUCUGUUGAUGCUAGUCUGAAGUCAUAGUUUGAGUUGAUUUAUUACUAAAGUUAACCUGUUUACUUUGGUGAUGUAGGAUUAUGUUGACUAAUUACUUAUUCUUACUCAAUGGUCAGGUAACACUAUCCUACUAGCUCAAUUAGUAGAGCAUUGUGUUAAUGCACAAAAGAUGUGGGUAGGUUUAUCUUUACUUUUUGUAUUUUUUUAUUUACUUUUAGUUUGAAAACCUUUACUUUGGCCUUCAUAUACUCCAAUACUCGGUGUUUCUAUGUUGUACAAAUACUUCUAAUUUUUUUUUUGAUUUACUUUUGAGAUUUUUUAAUUUACUUUUGAGUUAAUUUUAUUUACUUUUGAUUUUUUUUUUUUUUUAAACAUUAUGCUCUUCUUGUUUUGUAGCAGUCUGGUUUGCUGACAUGUUAUAGCAUGCUCUCAUUUCAGUUGUGGGUUUUCGCUGCAGGGGGUAGAGUUGUAGCUGCUAGAGUAGCGCAGUGUAAGACAGGAUGGGAGCGGGAGACUUGGUUGUUAUCAAAAAAAAAUGCAGGGGAUGUGAUCAAUAGUGAACAAAUAGAGAUCAACACCAAUUAAGCAACAACGAGACAACAGACGAGAACUGAACACUCCGGAGCAGUGAAAACAACCACAACAUCCAGCUCUGCACCCCAGACUUAGAACAGCCACAAAAAGACCAGUAGAAACAAAUGACAGUAGCAGAGAACAACAUAGAACACCAUCAUAUUCACGAAUUUACUUCUGAGCCUAUUUGAUUUACUUCUACCAAGUUUUUAUCUACUUUUUAAAAUAAGAGAAAUACUACUUUAUGAGAGACUAUUUCAGGCAGCUUACCUAUGUAAACUUAUACUAGCAAUUAACCAUCUUCCCACUCAACAUCUUCGUCAUCGUUA